ACUGGAGUUGGGCGACUUUUGACAUUUCUCACUGAAAAAGAGUUCGGUCCGUUUCCUGCUGGAGCUAAUUUCCUCUCUCUCUCUCCUUAUCCUUGACCUUAUCUGCGAAGGGCUUAUCUGUCCCGGUGUAUUUAGUCCCCCCUUCCACCACCACCACCACCACGACUUCCACUACCUGUGAGAUUUGAAUUGGAAGGAAGGCGAUUCAUCGAUAGGAGUGGAAUAAAUUUUGGUCAACUUUUCGUCACUUUUUUCUUCGUCACUUGUUUAUCUUCUUGUCAGGUCAUUCUUUUGAGGAGAGAAUGAAGCUCGGAAUUCCGUGGUUACGGAACGGGGGAUUUUUUGAGUCGUUAUGCGACUGGAAAUCGACCCUGAUCCCCCUGAUCCUUCUCGGCGUGACGUUUGCGAUUGCAUCUUUCGGAACGUGGUCAACCUUCAUUUCUCUCGGACUGCUCCCAGUGACGAUAAACGUUGUAAAGAAACAGUGUGGGAUUAAGAACUCGUCUUCUUUCUACUUCAAGUACACGCUGUAUUCGAUGAUCAUCUCCUUCUAUGUCUUUGAAACGGUAACGCGCGGGAUAUUUGCCUCGAUAACUCAGACGGAAUACGCCUUCGCCCUAGCGAUGGGGGGCUGCUGCAUCUUCUGCAUGUUUCUGACCCGCCACCUCUGCGCCUCGCUCCCCGAAGAGUUCAACGCCAAGUUUGGGACGCAGCCGAAAAAGCAAUCCAGCAUAAUUUUGGACCCCGUCAAGAAAAUGAUGUAUUACAGCUACGACUAUUGCAGAAAGUGUAAACGAUUCGUUUCCGGAAGAGAUCAUCACUGCGUCUGGAUAAAUUGCUGUGUUGGUCGCGUGAACAAGUUGGCUUUCGUGGCGACGGUGGCGUUUGGAACGGCUUGGCUCGUGGUAACUGUGAUGAUGAACUUGACCUCGAUUUGCUACCCGGUCUAUCUUCUGAAUGGAAUUGGUUUCAAUGAUGGGACUUCCUCGACAUCGAGAUGGCUCCUGAUUCCGACUAACUGUCCGGAUGUGUAUGGAAAGGGACAGUUCAUGAUUACUUUGGGCUAUAUCACAUCAAUUUACGGGAUCGGAGUCGCCAUUCUCCUCACGUUUGUGCUGAUCCACCAAAUUCGAUUGAUGAUGAUGGGCGUGAGUUACCUGGAGUAUCGGUUCGGAUCGUACAAGAAGACGCCGGUCGUCGACGGAGUGGAGCAGGAGGUCAUUUACCACGAUGUGAACGCCAUUUACGACAAAAACCAGGAUGAUUGUGGCGUCGGAGGAGACGACGGGAGGGAAGAUUUCUCCCACCGAAGACCCACCUUUCCACGAUGGACGCCACCACCGGAAACGCCACUUCGAGGAUGAUAAACUAACUCUUCCUCUCUCUCACUAUUUACCAGAUAAUUAAUUGUUGUUGUUUAUAAAAACUUACUACUCAAAAUUCUUGUGAAGAUAAUUAAUAUUAUGGAACGAAGCGAAGAGAAGAAAGAACGGCGUCAAAAAUUACAUAGGAUUUUAGUAUUAUACGAAAAAUUGUAGAAUUUUAACCUCGUGUUUGUCAUAUAAUCAACUAUGUUAUCAAGAAUGUGCUGUGGAUCUCAAAUUUACCGUGAAACAUGAUAACAAAUUGUUAUCCUAUAGGACUGAAAAUAUUGUAAUCAAAUCAUUCAAAUCCAAAUUUUUUGUCAUUAAUUAUUAAUUAAGUUCAUCUCUGCGCAUAAUUAUUGUUUAAAAAAGCGAUAUAAAUUUGUUAAAAUAUUUUAACCGUUACUUUUUUUUAACUAUAACCAACCAACCAGAAUUAACUGUGAUGUAAUCGAACAAAUGUAAUACAUACGUAUGUACUUAUUUAUAAGUGUAAGAAAUAUAUAAAAAAAAGUUUGUAAAUUUAUUUUAGUUUGGGGGGUAUUAUUUGUGGGGAGGGGGAAUCGCCCCCUGAAAUGUGGAUAUCCAUUAACGUCUCAGAAAUGUUAUUCCUUUAUAAGUUUCUACAUGUUUCAGGGGAUUUAUUAAUCGUGAUUAAUUCAUCGUGAUUAAUUCAUCGUAUCCUUAUCGCAAAUAUGGGGGUGGGGGGAAGUUGGGGGGUUGGGAAGUAAUCAUAUCAUGUAAUUAAUGAAAUAUUCAUGUAGUAAUUAUUCAACGGUGCUGUGCUGCUGUACUUCAUGGUUGUUUCUCCAAUGGAAGGAUCAAGAUCUGCAAUAUUAUCUUAUCGGGAAUUUACUGGGGAAAUUUAUGUUUGAGGAAUUUCCCAAUAUUUCUGAGAAAUCGAUUGGAAUUUUGGAGAAAAUCAUUACACGGACAGUAUUAUUGUCGGGGGAUAAUUUGUGUUUAAUAGCUACAUGUCUUACUUAUUAUGGAAAUGAUCUCAAUAAAAAAAGAUAAGCGUUUAA